rnacentral:rRNA from 1 species
AUUGAACGCUGGCGGCAUGCUUUACACAUGCAAGUCGGACGGCAGCACAGAGACGCUUGCUUCUUGGGUGGCGAGUGGCGAACGGGUGAGUAACAUAUCGGAACGUACCGAGCAGUGGGGGAUAACUAAUCGAAAGAUUAGCUAAUACCGCAUAUCUUCUGAGGAAGAAAGCAGGGGACCAUUUGGCCUUGCGCUGUUUGAGCGGCCGAUAUCUGAUUAGCUAGUUGGUGGGGUAAAGGCCUACCAAGGCGACGAUCAGUAGCGGGUCUGAGAGGAUGAUCCGCCACACUGGGACUGAGACACGGCCCAGACUCCUACGGGAGGCAGCAGUGGGGAAUUUUGGACAAUGGGCGCAAGCCUGAUCCAGCCAUGCCGCGUGUCUGAAGAAGGCCUUCGGGUUGUAAAGGACUUUUGUCAGGGAAGAAAAGGGCGGGGUUAAUACCCCGGUCUGAUGACGGUACCUGAAGAAUAAGCACCGGCUAACUACGUG